rnacentral:lncRNA from 1 species
GACCUCAUAGGGUCAACCAAAGCAGUUUAGAACUAGCUAGUGCAUUUUGCGAUACAGUAUAGCUGCCAUCUGUGUUUGAAGAACACUGCGAUAUGGUGGUUUUCGUUUCCUGCACAAAAUCUGGUUUGCCUUUGUUUUCCAAGGGCAAUGACUGGCAAGCAACUAGACUUUCCAUUCAUCAAGAAGCUGACGACGAUGACGAUGAUGAUGAUGAUGGUGGGAUCGAUAUAGCACCAGCAGCAUAAUGGAUCAAUUCGGAUGAAGUGCUGCAAAGUAUGAAGAAAUUAACUUGAGAUUGUGUUAUUCAUCAAUCUCACGCAUGCUGCACUUGUAUGGCUUAUAUUAUGACAUGGGGUAUUUAUCUAUAUUUAUGUAGUAAUUUGUGUAAGCCUCUUUAGACUUUACUUACACUGAUAUUUACAUAAAACAUAAUAUAUGUAGUACUGUUUAAUGUUUUGCUUACAGCUAGCUUACCCAUCAGUUGUAAUUGAUAUAUUUAUAUUAAUUACUAUAUAAAUAUUACAUAUAUAUGAUGUUUUGUUUACAAGACUCUUUCUAUCUCUCUCUCUUUCUUUCUUUAACAAUUAAUAAUGUAAUUGAG